GGUGCUUUUUCCAAGAGAAAAGUUGUCCAGAAGGUUGGUGGGAAUUUUAUCAUGUAGGUUUAGGAAUGACCAGAUUUUCUAGGAAUAGCUUGGUAGGAAUUGUAUAAUUUGGGUUUAAGGAUUGACCAGGAUUUCAAGGAAUGGUUUGAUGCGAAUGGUGUCAUUUGGGUUUAGGAAUGACCAGGACUUCUAGGAAUGGUUUGAUGGGAAUUGUAUCAUUUGGGUUUAGGAAUGACCAGGAUUUCUAGGAAUAGUUUGAUUGGAAUUGUAUCAUUUGGGUUUAGGAAUGACCAGGAUUUCUAGGAAUAGCUUGGUGGGAUUUGUAUCAUUUGGGUUUAGGAAUGACCAGGAAUUCAAGGAAUGGUUUGAUGGGAAUUGUAUCAUUUGGGUUUAGGAAUGACCAGGAUUUCUAGGAAUAGACUGGGGGGAUUUGGGUGUUUUUCCAAGAGAAGACUUCUCCAGAAGGUUGGUGGGAAUUGUAUCAGUUGGGUUUA